GACGAACGCUGGCGGCGCGCCUAACACAUGCAAGUCGAACGGAGCUGCGAGAAGCUUGCUUUUCUUAGCUUAGUGGCGAACGGGUGAGUAACGCGUGAGUAACCUGCCCUGGAGUGGGGGACAACAGUUGGAAACGACUGCUAAUACCGCAUAAGCCCACGAUCCGGCAUCGGAUUGAGGGAAAAGGAUUUAUUCGCUUCAGGAUGGACUCGCGUCCGAUUAGCUAGUUGGUGAGGUAACGGCCCACCAAGGCGGCGAUUGGUAGCCGGACUGAGGGGUUGAACGGCCACAUUGGGACUGAGACACGGCCCAGACUCCUACGGGAGGGAGCAGUGGGGGAUAUUGCACAAUGGGGGAAACCCUGAUGCAGCGACGCGGCGUGGAGGAAGAAGGUUUUCGGAUUGUAAACUCCUGUCGUAAGGGACGAUAAUGACGGUACCUAACAAGAAAGCACCGGCUAACUACGUG
rnacentral:rRNA from 1 species